GAAAAAAAAAAAAAAGAAAAGAAAAAAGUAGUGAAAUCUGAGAAACAUAAAUGAUUGAUAGCAUCUCAGGCUGAAGACUGCUGAAACGUGUCGAUGACAGCAGGACCUGGCGCUGAAAACAAUCAUCAUACCAAAUGACAGAACAAUUAGCGUUGCCAGCAGAGAAAAUAGUAAGUGAACCAACCAAAGGCCAGUGUGUUUAUUUUCCCACUCAGAGACAUCGUCUUCCCAGGUGGGGACUCUGAAAACAUUCCUGCUGAAGCUGACACGGUUUUUACUUCAGUGAGGGACUGGUCUGUUCCAAGCAGGAAAUUAACCCAAACUUUAAGAGAAAGCAACACAAGCUGUACGUGGAGCGUGGGGACGUGCCACUGUACCAAUGUCCCCACACAGAGGCUAUUCUCUCUCUUUUGAGACUGUUUACUUUUCCUAACCGUUCUUUUUCCAGGCUGAACAUACAAAGCUGAUAAAACAGAGUGUCUGU
ensembl:lncRNA